CCGGGAUGCGAGGCCCCCGGCGGCGGGAUCCAGAGCGGCGGCGGCUCCUCGGGGAAGUCGCAAAGCAGGAGCCGCUUCCAAGGCACAGAAGGGGACAGCGGAUCGGAAGCAGAAUCCCUGCUGACAGCAGAGAACCUGAUGCAGGGCUCAAACCCACAGACUGAGAUCAUGACCUGAGCUGAAGUCGGAUGCUUAACCGACUGAGCCACCUAGGUGCCCUGGCAACUGCUUAGUUAAUACGUACAGAAAUGUUAACAAGUUAGGGUGUUAAACAAUAGCUUUUCAGUGUGAUCUUUCCAUUCCUUCUUUGAAAUUGAUAACCUAUCUGUCUCAGAGAUCAGAUCACACCUAUCUGAUACGAAAGAGCUUGAUUUUAUUGAAAAGGUUUUGAGGGUGUCCUGCCCACAAAAGUGCAGUUUAGCUAAUACAGGGUCUUUCCUUCGUGGUUCUCGCCACAGGCUCUGUGUUUUUCUAAAUUGUGGAAUAGGUCAUCUGUACAAAAGGUGGCGUAAAACACAUGCAGUUAAAAGAAUGAUAAUAAGCUGUCCAGCACCCAGUUUCAUGGUAUAGAAUAUUGCCUGGACCAGAACAUGUCAAGGUCCCUACAUGCCUGUCCCGCUGACACCUUUCUCCCUUUCCUCCCUCUGUGCCAGGUAAUUGCUGUUUUGAAUUUUGAAUUGAUCAUGUCUUUGCUUUACUUUGUAAUUUUCCCAUCUGUGUUUGUGUUCUUAAAUAACAUUUUUAAUUUUUGCUGGCUUUUUAACACUUAAGUGAGCCCUAAUUGACAUAAAAUAAAAUACAUAUAUUUCAAA